UUUUUAAAGCUAUAUAUGUAGGGCUGGCUCAAAAUAAUAAAGGAUCCAUAGCUGGAAAAAAAAUUAGUUCUCAUUUCCUGUGUUUUGUUAUGUAAAUUUUUUUUUGGAUCGUAAUUGUACUAGAUUUACUUAAAAAAAAAGAGAAAUUUUGGGUGGACCCUAUACCUCAGCUCUUCAAGCACAUGUGUAGAGUCGAGCCUGUAUAUAUAAUUAUCGGGCCUGUAUAUAUAAUUAUAUAUCUCUU
rnacentral:sRNA from 1 species